GACGAACGCUGGCGGCGUGCCUAAUACAUGCAAGUAGAACGCUGAAGAGAGGAGCUUACUCUUCUUGGAUGAGUUGCGAACGGGUGAGUAACGCGUAGGUAACCUGCCUUGUAGCGGGGGAUAACUAUUGGAAACGAUAGCUAAUACCGCAUAACAAUGGAUGACACAUGUCAUUUAUUUGAAAGGGGCAAUUGCUCCACUACAAGAUGGACCUGCGUUGUAUUAGCUAGUAGGUGAGGUAAUGGCUCACCUAGGCGACGAUACAUAGCCGACCUGAGAGGGUGAUCCGCCACACUGGGACUGAGACACGGCCCAGACUCCUACGGGAGGCAGCAGUAGGGAAUCUUCGGCAAUGGGGGCAACCCUGACCGAGCAACGCCGCGUGAGUGAAGAAGGUUUUCGGAUCGUAAAGCUCUGUUGUAAGUCAAGAGCGGGUGUGAGAGUGGAAAGUUCACACUGUGACGGUAGCUUACCAGAAAGGGACGGCUAACUACGUG
rnacentral:rRNA from 1 species